rnacentral:rRNA from 1 species
AGAUUAAGUUAUUAAGGGCGCACGGUGGAUGCCUUGGCACUAGAAGCCGAUGAAGGACGUUACUAACGACGAUAUGCUUUGGGGAGCUGUAAGUAAGCUUUGAUCCAGAGAUUUCCGAAUGGGGAAACCCAGCAUGAGUUAUGUCAUGUUAUCGAUAUGUGAAUACAUAGCAUAUCAGAAGGCACACCCGGAGAACUGAAACAUCUUAGUACCCGGAGGAAGAGAAAGAAAAUUCGAUUCCCUUAGUAGCGGCGAGCGAAACGGGAAGAGCCCAAACCAACAAGCUUGCUUGUUGGGGUUGUAGGACACUCUAUACGGAGUUACAAAGGACGACAUUAGACGAAUCAUCUGGAAAGAUGAAUCAAAGAAGGUAAUAAUCCUGUAGUCGAAAAUGUUGUCUCUCUUGAGUGGAUCCUGAGUACGACGGAGCACGUGAAAUUCCGUCGGAAUCUGGGAGGACCAUCUCCUAAGGCUAAAUACUCUCUAGUGACCGAUAGUGAACCAGUACCGUGAGGGAAAGGUGAAAAGCACCCCGGAAGGGGAGUGAAAUAGAACCUGAAACCGUGUGCUUACAAGUAGUCAGAGCCCGUUAAUGGGUGAUGGCGUGCCUUUUGUAGAAUGAACCGGCGAGUUACGAUUUGAUGCAAGGUUAAGCAGUAAAUGUGGAGCCGUAGCGAAAGCGAGUCUGAAUAGGGCGUUUAGUAUUUGGUCGUAGACCCGAAACCAGGUGAUCUACCCUUGGUCAGGUUGAAGUUCAGGUAACACUGAAUGGAGGACCGAACCGACUUACGUUGAAAAGUGAGCGGAUGAACUGAGGGUAGCGGAGAAAUUCCAAUCGAACCUGGAGAUAGCUGGUUCUCUCCGAAAUAGCUUUAGGGCUAGCCUCAAGUGAUGAUUAUUGGAGGUAGAGCACUGUUUGGACGAGGG